rnacentral:rRNA from 1 species
UGCCAGCCGCCGCGGUAAUACGGAGGGUGCAAGCGUUGUUCGGAAUUAUUGGGCGUAAAGCGCGUGUAGGCGGUUCGUUAAGUCUGAUGUGAAAGCCCGGGGCUCAACCCCGGAAGUGCAUUGGAAACUGGCGAACUUGAAUAAGGUUGAGGUCGGCGGAAUGUGUCAUGUAGCGGUGAAAUGCAUAGAUAUGACAUAGAACACCAAUUGCGAAGGCAGCUGGCUAGACCUUUAUUGACACUGAGGCACGAAAGCGUGGGGAGCGAACAGGAUUAGAUA